rnacentral:misc_RNA from 1 species
CUUUGGUCUAUUGUGAGAUGAAAAAUGGUCAAUAAUGACCAAAAGAGGUGUGUGGGAAUUGUUGGAAUGAAAACCAAAUUCGUAGGUCCAAUGGUCAUGCUGCUGGCAGCAUGACCAAACCCACUUUGAAGGACCAAAACUCAAAUUUUACAAGUCCAAUUGAUAUGCCACUAAUUGGGGAUAAAAAUAGACAUAAAAGAGCACAAUUUUCAUUAAGGAACCAUGCCCAAAAACUGAC